rnacentral:rRNA from 1 species
CAGCAGCCGCGGUAAUACAGAGGAUGCAAGCGUUAUCCGGAAUGAUUGGGCGUAAAGCGUCUGUAGGUGGCUUUUCAAGUCCGCCGUCAAAUCCCAGGGCUCAACCCUGGACAGGCGGUGGAAACUACCAAGCUGGAGUACGGUAGGGGCAGAGGGAAUCUCCGGUGGAGCGGUGAAAUGCGUUGAGAUCGGAAAGGACACCAACGGCGAAAGCACUCUGCUGGGCCGACACUGACACUGAGAGACGAAAGCUAGGGGAGCAAAUGGGAUUAGAGACCCCUGUAGUCCCUGUCUCUUAUAC